UGAAGAUACAUUUGUUCACACUGAAGAGACGAGUCUUACUGUUCGGAAAACUUCUCUUUUCUUCACCGGCGAUGGAUUCACUGCCUACGACUGCAAAGGCCAGUUAGUUUUCCGAGUUGACACGUAUGGUCCCGAUUCUCGUGACCUAGGUGAACUCGUUCUCAUGGACGCUACCGGCAGAUGCCUUCUCACUGUCCGCCGUAAGAGACCGAGCUUGCAUAACAGGUGGGAAGGUUAUUUAGGGGAAAGAGAAGAGGGG
rnacentral:misc_RNA from 1 species